rnacentral:rRNA from 1 species
AUUGAACGCUGGCGGCAUGCCUUACACAUGCAAGUCGAACGGCAGCACGGGUGCUUGCACCUGGUGGCGAGUGGCGAACGGGUGAGUAAUACAUCGGAACAUGUCCUGUAGUGGGGGAUAGCCCGGCGAAAGCCGGAUUAAUACCGCAUACGAUCUACGGAUGAAAGCGGGGGACCUUCGGGCCUCGCGCUAUAGGGUUGGCCGAUGGCUGAUUAGCUAGUUGGUGGGGUAAAGGCCUACCAAGGCGACGAUCAGUAGCUGGUCUGAGAGGACGACCAGCCACACUGGGACUGAGACACGGCCCAGACUCCUACGGGAGGCAGCAGUGGGGAAUUUUGGACAAGGGGCGAAAGCCUGAUCCAGCAAUGCCGCGUGUGUGAAGAAGGCCUUCGGGUUGUAAAGCACUUUUGUCCGGAAAGAAAUCCUUGGCCCUAAUACGGUCGGGGGAGGACGGUACCGGAAGAAUAAGCACCGGCGAACUACGU